AUACGGAGGGUGCAAGCGUUGUUCGGAAUUACUGGGCGUAAAGCGCGCGUAGGCGGUCUGUUAUGUCAGAUGUGAAAGUCCUCGGCUCAACCGGGGAAGUGCAUUUGAAACUGGCAGACUUGAGUAUUGGAGGGGGUAGUGGAAUUCCCGGUGUAGAGGUGAAAUUCGUAGAUAUCGGGAGGAAUACCGGUGGCGAAGGCGACUACCUGGCCAAAUACUGACGCUGAGGUGCGAAAGCGUGGGGAGCAAACAGGAUUAGAAACCCUAGUAGUCC
rnacentral:rRNA from 1 species